AAGAGCUCGUAGGUGGUCCGCUCACGUCGGAUGUGAAAAUCUGGGGCUCAACCCCAGACCUGCAUUCGAUACGGGCGAGCUAGAGUGUGGUAGGGGAGACUGGAAUUCCUGGUGUAGCGGUGGAAUGCGCAGAUAUCAGGAGGAACACCAAUGGCGAAGGCAGGUCUCUGGGCCAUUACUGACACUGAGGAGCGAAAGCGUGGGGAGCGAACAGGAUUAGAUACCCUGGUAGUCCACGCCGUAAACGAUGGGCACUAGUUGUGGGAACCUUCCACGGUUUCUGCGACGCAGCUAACGCAUUAAGUGCCCCGCCUGGGGAGUACGAUCGCAAGAUUAAAACUCAAAGGAAUUGACGGGGCCCCGCACAAGCAGCGGAGCAUGCGGCUUAAUUCGACGCAACGCGAAGAACCUUACCAAGGCUUGACAUAUACAGGAAUAUGGCAGAGAUGUCAUAGCCGCAAGGUCUGUAUACAGGUGGUGCAUGGUUGUCGUCAGCUCGUGUCGUGAGAUGUUGGGUUAAGUCCCGCAACGAGCGCAACCCUCGUUCUGUGUUGCCAGCAUUUAGUUGGGGACUCACAGGAGACUGCCGGGGUUAACUCGGAGGAAGGUGGGGAUGACGUCAAAUCAUCAUGCCCCUUAUGUCUUGGGCUGCACGCAUGCUACAAUGGCUGGUACAAACGGCUGCGAUACCGCAAGGUGGAGCGAAUCCGAAAAAGCCAGUCUCAGUUCGGAUUGGGGUCUGCAACUCGACCCCAUGAAGUCGGAGUUGCUAGUAAUCGUAGAUCAGCAACGCUACGGUGAAUACGUUCCCGGG
rnacentral:rRNA from 1 species